UGUUGAUAGCUUUCUGCAAUAAACCUUUACUCAACAUUUCUGGGUUCACUAUUGGGCCUAUGGGAGAUACUAGACUAUACCACAUUCUCUGACUACACUGCAAAUUCAAAGAACCAGACCUAGAGGCUACCUAUUGUUUGUUUAGGCAGCAGGUGGUUCUGGUUUACAGCUGGCAACAUACCAUUCGGCAAUGUGCAAGAGAAGCAUGCUACCGUUUUGGAGUGACUGGUGUACCAGUUGAGACGUGAAUCAGACUGCUGGCGCCUGCUGUGUGUGACAUGAUUAAAACUGACCAUUCAACACUCAGCGUCCCUGUUUCCCACUAUCUGCUAUCACCAUGAAUGGAUCAACACAUUUCAUGUAAGAUCACCUAAAAGUGCCCAUUUGAAAAUGAACGUCGUUUUGAAGAUCCAUUCCCGGUAUGUGAGCACAGCGUCAGUCUGGGAGGAAGUGCAGACUACAGCAAAAACUUCAACCCCCAUUUCCAUAUGAUGGAUUUUUGAAGCAUGCCUGCUGGUCACUGACCUGUUCCACAUGUACAGUAUAACCAUGCCAUUGCUAAUGACGUAAUCCUUAUGCUGGUUGUGUCAACCUUGAUGUUGUGACCUUGUUAAUGAAUAGUAGUAUUUGUGACUGGUAAAAAGACAUCAAACUGUUAGAACUGUUACACUUUUAAUAUUUUUGUGGA